GGCAGGUAGCCUAGUGGUUAGAGCAGGUAGUCUAGUGGUUAGAGCAGGUAGUCUAGUGGUUAGAGCAGGUAGUCUAGUGGUUAGAGCAGGUAGUCUAGUGGUUAGAGCAGGUAGUCUAGUGGUUAGAGCAGGUAGCCUAGUGGUUAGAGCAGGUAGUCUAGUGGUUAGAGCAGGUAGCCUAGUGGUUAGAGCAGGUAGUCUAGUGGUUAGAGCAGGUAGUCUAGUGGUUAGAGCAGGUAGCCUAGUGGUUAGAGCAGGUAGCCUAGUGGUUAGAGCAGGUAGUCUAGUGGUUAGAGCAGGUAGUCUAGUGGUUAGAGCAGGUAGUCUAGUGGUUAGAGCAGGUAGUCUAGUGGUUAGAGCAGGUAGUCUAGUGGUUAGAGCAGGUAGUCUAGUGGUUAGAGCAGGUAGUCUAGUGGUUAGAGCAGGUAGUCUAGUGGUUAGAGCAGGUAGUCUAGUGGUUAGAGCAGGUAGUCUAGUGGUUAGAGCAGGUAGUCUAGUGGUUAGAGCAGGUAGUCUAGUGGUUAGAGCAGGUAGUCUAGUGGUUAGAGCAGGUAGUCUAGUGGUUAGAGCAGGUAGUCUAGUGGUUAGAGCAGGUAGUCUAGUGG